rnacentral:rRNA from 1 species
UACAGAGGUCUCAACCGUUGUUCGGAUUCAUUGGGCGUAAAGGGUGCGUAGGCGGUCGCGCAAGUCGGAUGUGAAAUCUCAGGGCUCAACCCUGAAACUGCAUUCGAUACUGCGUGGCUAGAGUGCCGGAGGGGAGACUGGAAUUUACGGUGUAGCAGUGAAAUGCGUAGAUAUCGUAAGGAAGACCAGUGGCGAAGGCGAGUCUCUGGACAGCAACUGACGCUGAGGCACGAAGGCCAGGGGAGCAAACGGG